rnacentral:rRNA from 1 species
CCGACGUAGAGUUUGAUCCUGGCUCAGGAUGAACGCUAGCUACAGGCUUAACACAUGCAAGUCGAGGGGCAUCAGGAAGGUAGCUUGCUACCUUUGCUGGCGACCGGCGCACGGGUGCGUAA